rnacentral:rRNA from 1 species
UACAGAGGUGGCGAGCGUUGUUCGGAUUUACUGGGCGUAAAGGGUGCGUAGGCGGUCCUGCGUGUCGGAUGUGAAAUCCCAUCGAAAACGGUGGAACGGCAUUCGAAACUGCAGGGCUGGAGUGCAGGAGAGGAUGGCGGAAUUCUCGGUGUAGCGGUGAAAUGCGUUGAUAUCGAGAGGAACGCCGGUGGCGAAGGCGGCCAUCUGGACUGCUACUGACGCUGAGGCACGAAAGCUAGGGGAGCAAACAGG